UUCUUAAUACCUUCUCCUUUCCAAACCUAAUUUCCUUCCCCCCUGUUUUUUAAAAACAUAGCCUUUAGCAAAUACAAGUAUUAAAGGUCCCGCCUGCCCAGUGAAACUUUUUAACGGCCGCGGUAUUCUAACCGUGCAAAGGUAGCGUAAUCACUUGUCUUCUAAAUAAAGACCAGUAUGAACGGCUAAAUGAGGACAAACCUGUCUCUAAUAACUAAUCAGUGAAACUGAUCUUCCAGUACAAAAGCUGGAAUGUUAACAUAAGACGAGAAGACCCCGUGGAGCUUAAAACAAAGCACUAACUUCUUCAAGCCCUAGUGCCCUGUUUUGAGUUGGGGCGACUUCGGAACAAAACAAAACUUCCGAGCACAGAACCACCAGUUCGAACUAAGGCCAACAAGCCAAGGCAUAAAACCGACCCGGCCCACGCCGAGCAACGAACCAAGUUACCCCGGGGAUAACAGCGCUAUCUUCUUCAAGAGUCCCUAUCAACAAGAAGGUUUACGACCUCGAUGUUGGAUCAGGACACCCAAAUGGUGCAGCCGCUAUUAAAGGUUCGUUUGUUCAACGAUUAACAGUCCUACGUGAUCUGGUUCAGAAACGGGAAAAAAGGAAGUUUGGGUUCGGGGUGGUUGAAUA
rnacentral:rRNA from 1 species